GAAGACCCCAAAGAGAGCCCCGAAGAGUCAGAGGAUGCUGAAGAAAACCCCGAGGAGUCUGAGGAUCCCAAAGAGAGCCCUGAAGAAUCCGAGGAUCCCGAAGAGAAUCCCGAAGAGUCCGAGGAUGCUGAAGAGGAGCCCGAGGAGUCCGAGGAUCCCAAAGAAAACCCCGAGGAGUCCGAGGAUGCUGAAGAGAGCCCCGAAGAAUCCGAAGACCCCAAAGAAAGCCCGGAGGAGUCCAACGACCCCAAAGAAAACCCUGAAGAGUCAGAGGAUGCUGAAGAAAACCCCGAGGAGUCCGAGGACCCCAAAGAGAACCCUGAAGAAUCCGAAGACCCCAAAGAAAACCCCGAGGAGUCCGAGGAUGCUGAAGAAAAUCCCGAGGAGUCUGAGGGUCCCGAGGAGGAGCCCGAGGAGCCCACCCUGGAUCCCACCCUCCUCGCGGAGCUGGCGACCCGGCUGCAAGAGGCCGCAGCCCAGAAGAACUCGGGGCUCCUGUCGCGCCUCACGGACGCGCUGGACUGGCUGAUCACAAAGCUCAGCAACUUCGUCUUCGGGUGAGCGCUGAGAGCGUCCCGAAUAAACCAAUCCCAAAUGGAGCGACCCCAAAUGGAGCGACCCCAAAUGGACCCGUCCCGAAUGGAGCUGAUUCUGAUUAAGCUGACCCCAAAUAAACUGACCCCAAAUAAUCUGACCCCAAAUGGAUCAAUCCCAAAUUAAGCUGACCCUGAAUAAACUGAUCCCAA